rnacentral:rRNA from 1 species
UAAAAUGAGAGUUUGAUCCUGGCUCAGGACGAACGUUGGCGGCGUGCCUAAUACAUGCAAGUCGAACGAGGUCUCCUAAAUGAUAUGACGUGCUUGCACUGAGUUGACUUUAGAUCGGACCGAGUGGCGAACUGGUGAGUAACACGUGGGUAACCUGCCCAGAAGUAGGGGAUAACACCUGGAAACAGAUGCUAAUACCGUAUAACAACUAAAACCGCCUGGUUUUAGUUUGAAAGCUGGCCUUGGUGCUAGUGCUUUUGGAUGGACCCGCGGCGUAUUAGCUAGUUGGUGAGAUAAUAGCUCACCAAGGCGAUGAUACGUAGCAGACCUGAGAGGGUAAUCUGCCACAAUGGGACUGAGACACGGCCCAUACUCCUACGGGAGGCAGCAGUAGGGAAUCUUCCACAAUGGACGCAAGUCUGAUGGAGCAACGCCGCGUGAGUGAAGAAGGGUUUCGGCUCGUAAAACUCUGUUGUUAGAGAAGAACGACUGUGAGAGGAACUGCUCACGGCGUGACGGUAUCUAACCAGAAAGUCACGGCUAACUACGUGCCAGCAGCCGCGGUAAUACGUAGGUGGCAAACGUUGUCCGGAUUUAUUGGGCGUAAAGCGAGCGCAGGCGGUUUUUUAAGUCUGGUGUGAAAGCCUUCGGCUUAACCGAAGAAGUGCAUCGGAAACUGGGAAACUUGAGUGCAGGAGAGGACAGUGGAACUUCAUGUGUAGCGGUGAAAUGCGUAGAUAUAUGAAGGAACACCAGUGGCGAAGGCGGCUGUCUAGUCUGCAUCUGACGCUGAGGCUCGAAAGCAUGGGUAGCAAACAGGAUUAGAUACCCUGGUAGUCCAUGCCGUAAACGAUGAAUGCUAGGUGUUGAGAGGUUUCCGCCUCCCAGUGCCGAAGCUAACGCAUUAAGCAUUCCGCCUGGGGAGUACGACCGCAAGGUUGAAACUCAAAGGAAUUGACGGGGACCCGCACAAGCGGUGGAGCAUGUGGUUUAAUUCGAUGCUACGCGAAGAACCUUACCAGGUCUUGACAUCUUCUGUUAGCCUAAGAGA